rnacentral:rRNA from 1 species
GAUGAACGCUGGCGGCGUGCCUAAUACAUGCAAGUCGAACGGACAGGCCCUGAUCUUGUUGCGCUCUCGUGUGGCGCACGCGUGUGUAUCACGCGUGUAUACUCUACCUGUCUUUGUGAUAUCUUCAGGAGAAUGCGGCUAUAACAGGAUAGAAGCUCCUGAUGCACGUUGUUCAAUGGUAAGAUACGGCGGUUGGGGCUAGACUAGCUGCUUAUCCGCUUGUUUGUGGGGUAGUGGCUUACCAAGGCUUUGACGGGUAGCCGGCCUGAGAGGGUGAACGGCCACAUUGGGACUGAGAGACGGCCCAGACUCCUACGGGAGGCAGCAGGGGAGAGUAUUGCACAAUGGGCGGAAGCCUGUUGCAGAGACGCCGCGUGCGGGAUGACGGCCUUCGGGGUGUAAACCGCUUUCGACUGUGACGAGGCGUGAGUGACGGUAAUGGGUAAAAAAGCACCGGCUAACUACGUG